rnacentral:lncRNA from 1 species
GUAGGGUAUAGAGACUUUGUGCUGUGAAAAUGUUUUUAAGUUUAUAGCUGUGCUUGCUAGUUAUGGUGAAGAAGCUGUUUUGUGAGUGUGGCCUUUGAGAGUUUUCUUCUCAUCAGCAGGUCAAGCACUACGUUACUGGGAUCUAAGCAUUUACAAGGAAUUAAUCUGGCUGAUGUGGUUACCCUGCUUUCAGUUCUGGGGCAGUGUGGGGGUUUCCUGCUUGUGUGUGUGGUACAGACUUCUUCACCAUGUUCUGUGGGAAUAGCUGGCCUAUUUGUUUCUGAAGUAUACUGCUGCAUCAGUAUGAUCCUCUCUCCUUAG